AAAUUAACUUUUAUGCUUUUCCAUUCUCUUUAAUUAUGUUGUUUUAAUGGAGCUUAGCAGCUGUAUAUCACUCAGUGAUUAGAAAUCUUAUCCCAAUACAUGUAGCAUUCAUGUAAAAUUGAAGAAGAAUUGUAAAAGAUUGCUUAAAAAAACCCACCUUUGAACCAAUAAUUGCUUCAAGUGCACCCUAGAAAUUAAAUUAAAACUAUUAAAGAUCAAGGACAUGCCACAAUUACAAUGUUCUAGUUGCACCAAUUCCAAUGUACAAAUUGAUUAAAGGAUAAGAAUUUGUAACGUUGAUCUAUCAGACUAAAAUGUGUGUUUUUACUUGGUUAUGAAGCUAGGCUUUGCGAAUUGUGACUCACAUUCUCAAGCCUGUAAGGGAUAGGGAUUUUGCAAGUAUAAAAACAUCAGUAUCUACUGUUGAGAUGAGUUUUCAAAAUGUAUAGCAUAUUCAUCCUAUUUUCUAGAUAUAAAUACAUUUUUUAUCCUAAUUGUAACAUUAACAUAUAAAUACACAAUUUAUUAUUCUUUCAUUAUUACCAAGAAUUGUAUGUUGAAUACAUCAUAAAAUGACUCUAAGUAUCAUUAAUGUGUAUGUUCGCUCAUCUUCACGCUAAUAGCAGGGAACAAAAGUUUCAAGUCUCAAAGUGAGGUGCCUUUUUCUAGGUUGCAACCUUCCAUUUAGCUUGUUUGAAAAUUCUGUGGCGAUAUCUAUCUAGUGAAAUUCCAAGAAGUUAUUGAAGCCAUCCCUUUACUCCAGAAAAUCAUUUAGGUAGUUCAUCAUUUUUCAAGUCAAACUCUUGCUUCUUCAAGAUAAUACUUUUGACGUUAAAUUGUCUUCUUAAGGUACUGUUUCGCACAUUGAACUCUCUUAUGAUAUUUUAAUGCC